rnacentral:lncRNA from 1 species
AAUUGCCAUUUAAUUGACAAUUUUAUUUUAUUUAUUGUUGUUGUUUUUAAACCUCUGCCACUGUGAAAAAACAUGGGCCUCUAAUGGUGAUUGGACAACUUUCUGGAGUAAAGGCCCAUUCUUUUGUUUUUUUUUUUCUGUUUUGUGGGCUUCUUCAUAAAGAUGGGCUGGCGCGUGGAAUUCUUAGGCCCAAACACUAACAACCUUCUUUCUAACAUUCUCUUUUGGACUUUCUCCUUUCUUCUCAUGACAAGUGUCACUUUUCUUACACUUAAUACAAUGUUAUUAAUGCAUCACACAAGUUAUUUUUUGUUUUCCAAAUUUACCCUUAUUAAAUGUAUUAGCUUUUUU